GAUGAACGCUGGCGGCGUGCCUAAUACAUGCAAGUCGAGCGAACAGACGAGGAGCUUGCUCCUCUGGCGUUAGCGGCGGACGGGUGAGUAACACGUGGAUAACCUACCUAUAAGACUGGGAUAACUUCGGGAAACCGGAGCUAAUACCGGAUAAUAUAUUGAACCGCAUGGUUCAAUAGUGAAAGACGGUUUUGCUGUCACUUAUAGAUGGAUCCGCGCCGCAUUAGCUAGUUGGUAAGGUAACGGCUUACCAAGGCGACGAUGCGUAGCCGACCUGAGAGGGUGAUCGGCCACACUGGAACUGAGACACGGUCCAGACUCCUACGGGAGGCAGCAGUAGGGAAUCUUCCGCAAUGGGCGAAAGCCUGACGGAGCAACGCCGCGUGAGUGAUGAAGGUCUUCGGAUCGUAAAACUCUGCUAUUAGGGAAGAACAAAUGUGUAAGUAACUAUGCACGUCUUGACGGUACCUAAUCAGAAAGCCACGGCUAACUACGUG
rnacentral:rRNA from 1 species